rnacentral:rRNA from 1 species
UAAAGCUCUUUUACCCGGGAUGAUAAUGACAGUACCGGGAGAAUAAGCCCCGGCUAACUCCGUGCCAGCAGCCGCGGUAAUACGGAGGGGGCUAGCGUUGUUCGGAAUUACUGGGCGUAAAGCGCACGUAGGCGGCUUUGUAAGUUAGAGGUUAAAGCCCCCUGGUAAGCCCUGGAGGUGCUUUUAAGACUAAAUCCCUAGAAUCGUGGAGAGAUGAGUGGAAUUCCGAGUGUAGAGGUGAAAUUCGUAGAUAUUCGGAACAACACCAGUGGCGAAGGCGACUCACUGGACAGGUAUUGACGCUGAGGUGCGAAAGCGUGGGGAGCAAUCAGGAUUANAUACCCUGGUAGUCCACGCCGUAACUU